CAAGAAUAAUUGCAUAUACCCACGGUAUUUUUACCCAUGGCCACUUACCGUGAGUAAUACCAAGAGCAAAGCCGUGGGUACGGUGAAAGUAAGCAAAAUUCUUCGGUAUACACAAUAGAUCUAACGUACCGAUAUCUAGGCCGUGGGUAAAGAGAAAAUAAAAAUAUGUUAUUUCUUCCUUUUAGUAAACCACUCACUCACCAAAACACACUCAAGACAUUCUCUCUUCUCACAAACGGUAGAUCAAAGAAGGAAACCCUAAACCCAAAUGAAUGAAACGAAACGAAACAUCACCAUCUCUCUCUAUUUUUGCAUCUGGUCGCAGAAACACACUUGCAGAAUUGUGGUCCUCUCAGCUUCUCGUUUUUGCCGCUUCACCACCGCACAAGGUAGCGGUUGUUCUCCACUUCUCUGAGAUUGUUCAGAUUCGCACUUUACCUCUCCUAAGCGUAGCAAUGAAGUGAAUUUCUGGUGAGUGCUUAACCUAUGAUUGUUUCUAAAUGUGAAAAGACCCAAAUGUUUUAAAACCCUAAUCCUCAAUUUUACCCCCAAUUUCGUAGAGCUUUAAUUUAUUCAUGUUGUGUGGUAAUGGUAAAUCAUUAUUCGUUAGUAAGAACUUGAGAAACAACUUGUUUUGCUUUACAAGGGUUGUGUGAAACAACUUGAGAAAUCUGGGUGUGAAGGGGAUUUUUGCUUUCAACAUUGUAAAUUCUCACCCUUUGGAUAUGGCUGGCUCCUUAAACAUUGAUCUAUUUUGAAUAUCUCAUUCCAAUUGAGUUUAUGGACUGUAGUUUGUGAUUAGCACAUAAUAUGAAAUGAAUGGGUUUUCACUUGAUCCUUCCCUUGGUGAGUUCAUAUUGAAUGACUCACCCAAACAUUAAGGUAGGUGCAUUAUGUUGCAGUCAAAUUGGUAAAUAAGUGUUAAGUAGCAUAGUUUAUUAGAUUUUUACUUGCACAAUUCUAAAUUUUAUUUGCUGCAAUGUGUUAAUUGCAUAGAUACCACGAAAGGAAAGAUUUAUUAUGUUAAUAAAAGGAAAUGCCAAAAACUGCGAUGAACCGACCACCAAGUAAUUUUUCUGAGUGUGCCAUUUGCUUCAUUUUUUCAUGAGGAAAGAGUCAUUUUCAGAAUAUUCCAUUUGCUGCACUGGAACAAAUCUAAUUGUGGUAAGUUAUGUCUUCUGAAUCUAUAUUUGGUUAAGAUUGUCAAUGGAAUCAAUAAUUGAUCAUGACUGCUUUGUAACAUAGUAGUCUAAAUUUUAUGAUUACGCCUUUAUAUGUUCUUUCAAGCUUUCUGAGAUGUCUAGCUAAUAAUAAUCUUUUGCCUCUAAACUAAUUUUGUAUGUUCUACAGCCCAUGCUUUCUGAAAAUUACUUCCUUCUUUUCAAAGUUAUGUAAUCAAUGAAAAAGUAAUGAUAAUGUGUAGUUGGUUUAAAUAAUAUAACAUAGCUAUCAAUGUGUGUUUACAAUAUAAUUUUUUCAUGUCAGUAAAAAAAAAAAGAGUUGUUGGAAAGCAUAUAUAGGGACUAAUUUUAUUUAAUGUCGGUUCAUUUUCAUUCUUGCUGAUUUAUAAGUUUGACCUUUCUUGAUGCAUUUUAUCAAGUAUUCUAGGAUUACAAUGGCAUUACUAACUAAGCAGGUUGGAAUGAAGUCAUCAAUGCAUGCAGACAACAAGUAUGCUCUGUUCCUUGAUCAAUUGGAGAACUCACUCGUGAGAUAGAAAGGGAUCCUGAGAUGUCUCAUGAAGAAAAGAUUUGGACCAAGGUGUCUCAAAUGAGAUGGCUGCACAAAUUACAUCAAUUCAGGGGCAGAGAAGACAACAGAAGAUGAGGCUUAAUAUGAUUUGGCAGAUGUUACUUGGAGAGUUUGGCUUGCAAGGAAUGCGCAAAUUUUCCACAACAAGGCUUCAAGGCAAUUAAGCAUGUAACUUUGGAGUGGUUUAUUUUUUCUAGCUACGCUGAUGUCUGUAGCUUUUAUGAAUGGGAUGGAUAUCCAUUUGAUUGUUUAUCUAGGUAAGGAUUUGUUUCUUUUUCAAGGUUUAAAACCUUCUGUUUCUGGUUUUGGUUCUUGGGUAUUUCUUGUUCUUUAGAUCCCUUGUUUGGUGGUUGGAUUGAGUACCA